AUCGAUGUUUAUUCAGCUUAAAAGGGAAGUCCGGUGAAAGUCCGGCACGGUCCCGCCACUGUAAAUGGGAGCACCCUGCAUGAUGUCACUACCUUUUAAAAAAAGGUGGGAAGACGCAGGGGUGUGAUGAUCAUGAGUCAGGAGACCUGCCUGUCGAU
rnacentral:ncRNA from 1 species